CAGAAAUUCCAUUGAGGAGCGAGGAUAUUGACAGAGGAGCGAGACAGGAGGGACAAAUUGGGGGAUGUUAUUUUCUGUUCUACAAAAUGGUGGAAGAUGUUGAAGGCCGCAGGUGAGCUGGAGCCCAUCCCAGCUGUCUUUCAGCUGAGGUGGGUUACACCCAGUCAAUUGCAGGUCACGAACCUGUUUGACGCACGAACCUGUGAUUUAUUAAUAGGAUAUGUUGUGACAGGGAAAAGGCGAGUAUAGCAGGCUAUGUACUCUGAAGACCCUCAUCCAGGAUACUGUGCGGUCACUUUUGCAAUCAAAUGCAAGAGAAUCUCAUCCUGCCUGUCAAGAGGAGCAGACACUGGAUCCUCUGUGACAUUUGUACCAGCUCUUUUGCUCCUGUGUGUUUUAUGUAAAUAAAAUUUGAACUGAGAAAAA